AUGCAGUCGAACGAUGAACCACUUCGGUGGGGAUUAGUGGCGAACGGGUGAGUAACACGUGGGCAAUCUGCCCUUCACUCUGGGACAAGCCCUGGAAACGGGGUCUAAUACCGGAUAUGACCAUCUUGGGCAUCCUUGAUGGUGUAAAGCUCCGGCGGUGAAGGAUGAGCCCGCGGCCUAUCAGCUUGUUGGUGAGGUAAUGGCUCACCAAGGCGACGACGGGUAGCCGGCCUGAGAGGGCGACCGGCCACACUGGGACUGAGACACGGCCCAGACUCCUACGGGAGGCAGCAGUGGGGAAUAUUGCACAAUGGGCGAAAGCCUGAUGCAGCGACGCCGCGUGAGGGAUGACGGCCUUCGGGUUGUAAACCUCUUUCAGCAGGGAAGAAGCGAAAGUGACGGUACCUGCAGAAGAAGCGCCGGCUAACUACGUGCCAGCAGCCGCGGUAAUACGUAGGGCGCAAGCGUUGUC
rnacentral:rRNA from 1 species